UGGAGGCCUCUAAACGGCACUUAGGCAUGUUACCAAAUUCUUUUAGCUUAGUAAAACCGCUAAAGAACAUUGUAAUCAGAGCUCUUGAACUACUUGCUCAAGCCUGCUCCCACUCUUUGGAGUGUACUUUCAUUUAGAUAAAUCUCACUUUUGAUGCUUCCUCUUUCAUUGCUUCAUUCUUUUGUUGCCUUCUUUUUGCAUUUUGUUCAACUCUUUGUUGGAUGCACCAAGAACCUGGACAACUCGUAGACAAGACCUUCCAUCAGGAAACACAAAUACGUGAAGCGAAUGAGGAAGAUAGUGUCUUUCAGACAGCUGUCUACAAGUCAAGAAGAGAGCCCUCACUCGAAUCCAAACUUGCUAGGACCCUGGUCUUGGACAUCCACCCUCCAGAACUAUUCAAGCAAAAAGAGAGGAACAGGAGAAGGAGGAAGAGAAAGAGAGGAUGAGGGAAAGGAAAGAGGAUGUAAAGAAGGAAGAGCAGAAGAGAAAGAAGUAAAAAUGAUUUGAAAUGUGGUGCGUGAAUCAGUUUGACAGGUAAACUCCCAUUUGAAGUUUAUAUAUUUGUAAUCUCAUGAUUAGAAAUGCACAGAAAUGUCUUUCCUGAGAAAUAAAAUUGAAAGUGUUUUCUUCUCAGAAACAUUUACAACUACAAACUAACUUACUAUUACAAACUAAUACAACAAGCCAAAGAAAAAAGAUCAGGCCAACAGACAACCCUAUAUAACUCCUUGGAAUAAUGUUUGCUAAUUUUAUUUAAGCUAAGAAAGUAAUUUCUUUGCACAAAAUAUCCUCUCUACCUUCCCGCAGUUUUUUUCCUCUGACGGAUAGGACAAUGUUCCAAAAUAAAUUUUCUUUUCUGGUACAG
rnacentral:lncRNA from 1 species